CAGUCGCCGCGGGAAUACGGAGGGUGCAAGCGUUAAUCGGAAUUACUGGGCGUAAAGCGCACGCAGGCGGUUUGUUAAGUCUGUUGUGAAAUCCCCGGGCUCAACCUGGGAAUGGCAGUAGAAACUGGACGGCUAGAGUGUGUCAGAGGAUGGUGGAAUUCCCGGUGUAGCGGUGAAAUGCGUAGAGAUCGGGAGGAACAUCAGUGGCGAAGGCGGCCAUCUGGGACAACACUGACGCUGAAGCACGAAAGCGUGGGGAGCAAACAGGAUUAGAUACCCCCGUAGUCCCUGUCUCUUAUAC
rnacentral:rRNA from 1 species